CAGGAGUAAUCUGAAAAUCCUUUAAAAGAGUAAGAU
rfam:Bacteroidetes bacterium GWF2_35_48 gwf2_scaffold_3797, whole genome shotgun sequence.